GACGAACGCUGGCGGCGUGCCUAAAACAUGCAAGUCGAACGCGAGGGCCCUUCGGGGCCUGGGAGUGGCGAACGGCGGAGUAAUACGUAAGCAACGUGCCCUAAAGCUCGGGAUAUACCGGGGAAACCCGGGGCAAUACCGGAUGUGGUCGGAGCCCGGCAUCGGGAGCCGAUUAAAUGGUUUUUCGCUUUAGGAGCGGCUUACGGCCUAUCAGCUAGUUGGUGGGGUAACGGCCUACCAAGGCAUCGACGGGUAACUGGUCUGAGAGGACGACCAGUCCGAGUGGGACUGAGACACGGCCCACACACCUACGGGUGGCAGCAGUUGGGAAUCUUGCACAAUGGGGGCAACCCUGAUGCAGCGACGCCGCGUGGAGGACGAAGGAUCUAGGUCUGUAAACUCCUUUUGCCAGGAAAGACUUAGGACGGUACCUGGCGAAUAAGCUCCGGCUAACUACGUGCCAGCAGCCGCGGUAAUACGUAGGGAGCAAGCGUUGUCCGGAUUUACUGGGCGUAAAGGGCGCGUAGGCGGCCUGCC
rnacentral:rRNA from 1 species